UAGAAUGUAGUGUAAAGGAAACACAGAGGAUUUUGAGUUCUCAGAUAUGGGUUCAAGUCCUAUUGUUCUAG
rnacentral:tRNA from 1 species